AACGAACGCUGGCGGCAGGCUUAACACAUGCAAGUCGAGCGCCCCGCAAGGGGAGCGGCGCACGGGUGAGUAACACGUGGGAAUAUGCCCUUUAGUGGAGAAUAACGUCGGGAAACUGACGCUAAUACUCCAUACGCCCUUCGGGGGAAAGAUUUAUCGCUGAAGGAUUAGCCCGCGUUAGAUUAGGUAGUUGGUGAGGUAAUGGCUCACCAAGCCUACGAUCUAUAGCUGGUCUGAGAGGACGGCCAGCCACACUGGAACUGAGACACGGUCCAGACUCCUACGGGAGGCAGCAGUGGGGAAUAUUGGACAAUGGGGGAAACCCUGAUCCAGCCAUGCCGCGUGAGUGAUGAAGGCCUUAGGGUUGUAAAGCUCUUUUGUCAGGGAAGAUGAUGACGGUACCUGAAGAAUAAGCACCGGCUAACUUCGUGCCAGCCGCCGCCGUAA
rnacentral:rRNA from 1 species